AACAAUUUAAAAUGCUUUAAAUAAAUACCUGUUGUUUUUUCCCCUCAAUGUGCUUAUAAAAAUAACAAUGAUCAACUUUACUUUGGUCCAUGCUGCACACAAACCGAUUAAAACCCUCUAAAAAUAUUUGCAUUUCUCCACAGGAGGGGAAAUAAAUAGAACAGUUUCACAAAUUGACACCUAAAUUGGCCUAUUUAGAGUUAGGAUGUUCACAAAGUGAGCUCAGAUUUGAAAUUAAUUCCCUCAAAAUGUGUUUUCAAAUUACCAACAGGGUUAAAGUGGGACUUGUUAGCAAAAAUAUUUCUCCCAUCAUUAAGUUAAUUUAAUUUCAUGUUAAAUCGCACACUCCAGAGUUGGAAAUAAUAACAAUAAUAACUGUGAUAAUUAAAAAAAGGAAAAAAAGACACCAAUUAGCACGCUCAUUUGUGCGUCUGACUGGGUGAUGAAUAAUUCAUGAAAUUAGAGAAUGGAGGGAUCAGCUUUCCCAGUGAGGGGGGGAUCGGUAUAAAGACAGGAGACAGUGCUGCCUUUUCUUAGGAAACAUGCUCAGACUGCUGCUGCUGCUGCCUGGAUACAGCUGCACAAGCCAGGAAAUCAUGUCAUCCCUGAAACCAGCGGAGCCCGGGACCCGGAGGCCGGAGCGAGGCCCGGUCCCUCCGUGCGGUGCUUUCACAGUUCAGAGGCAUCUCGACCUAAAUGCGAUGUGACAGGAGAACCUUUACUGAAACAAACGGGAAUAUAGUAUCAGGGAAGGCUGACCGAGCUGUGAACCGGAGCCUUAACACAGAGCAAAUUAACAUCAGCAGAAAUAGCUCUCUCUCUCUCUCUUCCUCUCUCUCUCUCUCUCUCUCUGUUUUUUUUUCUUUUUUUUUUAGAUCGCUUGUCUGAGUCGGACAGCAAACGCAUCAAAGCUCAUCCCGUUAUCAAUUGUGUAAUUAAACAGGCUGAUGUGAGAGACCUUAUCCUGGCCCCGGCUCUGUCCGUGAACUCUGACCGACGAACUGGACCGUUUCCCGAGGUGCUGCUGCUGUUUGAUGUCCUGCAGGAGAAUGUUUCUGGGUCUGAGCUUUCAGUCCCGCUAUCGUCCAUCAGAGAUCUGCUCCGUAAUGUGGAGCUCAGGAUUUGUGAAUGCAGUUUGAUUGGGAGGCCACUAAGGGGCUUUUUUUUUUUUUUUUCUUCCCUUGAGUCUGAGCACUUUCAGGUUUAUGCGAGGUCAACGUCAUGGACGAAGAGCUGUCAGGACAGAACUUCUGUUUCUGACUGACUGACAGCGGUGGGCUGAGAAGGAGCUGAAGCUGCAUGAGACCACUUUAAUGGGUUAUGAGUCACAUUAGUCAGCACGAGAACCAGCAGGGGAAGAAGCAAGUCGAGAGGAGGGCAAAUCAAGCCCCCUUGCACACGAGUGCAAAAUAAGUGCAAACUGCACAAAAACACAUCUUCCCCCUCACUCCUUUUAACUUCUUGGUCUGCUUUUGUCACUUUCUAAUAAUUUUUUUUUUAGUUCUCUUGCAGAGUUCAGGGUUUAAUCUUGCUGUCAUUGAUUCUCCUCAUUAGAUCCUCUGAAGGGAAGCGGAGAGCUGCUGACACAGAGCAGACCAGAGACCAAUAUGGCGACACUGUGGGAGGAAAAAAAACGUCUCCAAAUGAAGAUAAUUAAAUUCUGUUUUAUGUUGCACGUUUUUUUUCUUCUUUUCUUUCAGUUUCAGUUCUUCUUCCUCUUUAAACAGUCAGUUCAAAGUCACGAAAUAUGUAUUUUUCUCAAUAAAAGAGAAGCUGUCGUUUUAAAAACAAUCAAUCAAGGAUUUAAUUAGCACCAACAGGAAUGCAAAUGCUUUACAGGUGCAGAAAAAAGCUAUUGCUGUACUGCUGUAAGUCACUUAAAUUCCUCCUGUGAAAUAAAAUAAAUAUAAUUAAAUUAAAUAUACAGAUGCACAAAAUUAACAGAUUUGGCUUUGAAAAUCAAUAAAAAUACCAUUCAAAAAAAUAUAUAUGCAUAAAAAUUACUAGUAUAAUAAAAUCAUAUGGUAUGCUUCAAAAAUAGGGCACGGGUUUGAGCAUUUUAAAAUAAAUACAAAAUAAGGAUUCAGAUCAAAUAUUUUUGAAAGGACAACGGUUGAUGAAAGACGUCAGAAGAAGAAGCUGGUUAGAGCUGAUGGGACGUUUGCUGGAGCUAAAUAAAUAAAGUUUAAUUCUGGAUGAAGACCCACUACAGGAUGCACAGGACUUGAAACAGAAAGGAAGUUCAUCCAUAAAUGGCCUAGUUAAAGUCUAGAACUAAAUCCAAAUGAGAUUCUGCAGCAAAACAUAAGAUUUGCUGCUUACAGACUUUCCCAUGUAAUUUUAGUGAGCUGGAGUUGUUUUAUACAAAAAAGAGAAAAAUGUCCAGAUGUGCAAAGCUGAUAGAGACAAACCACAUUGGAAGUAAGUAUUUACUUAUGGAAUGUAAAUAAUAAAAAAGGUCAUGCUGAAAAGCUUUCAUUCCAUAACAAAAAUAUUCACCACUUUGUCGGUCUGGCACACAACACAUAUUAUUGUAACUUCACAAAUUGUAAAAAGUUUCUAUAGGUAUGAAUAUUUUUGAUAAUCCCACCACAUAAGCACAUGUGGAUCAAUUCUGGCAAAUCUAAAGUGAGAACAGCAGACAUUUACACAGCUUUAAACCAUUUUUUUUAUUAUUAUUACUAUUAUUUUGGUAGUUAGAGUCCAGUUUCUAUUAGUGAGUCAUCCUGAUGAAGCAAACAGAACAGACACUUUACAUAAACUUUUAAACUAUUUGAUAACCUGCUAAAUGUAACUCAGUGGCCCAUUGAAGGACAGCGGCACAGUGAAGCUUUCAGACUAACUUUGACACUAAAUACAUGUAGCAACGUUGCUCACUGACGACACAUUAAAUGAUUCCUUAGGCCGUUCGUAUACCCGCUGUGAAGGAACGCCUGGUGCACUUCAGGUAAGCCUGAAAGGAGUCAGUCACUCGUUUAAAGUGAGCUGCACUUUGGCAUUUUGCUGGGUUUUAUCAGCCACAUGUCACACUUUACACGUCCAAAGGUUAACUCACCUGCUCCACCCGCGUCAAGCCGUCGGACGUCCAUCCAGUCGCAUCAAGAAGGAGGCCGUCAACGCUUUCCCAGCCGCCGUCCAGGACACAAGCAGCACAGACACAAGCAGCACAGACACUGUCUGCUAAAGCAAGGCUUUCAUUUCUGAAACAGAAUAGAAACAGCUUGUUUUGUCUCGUACAGAGACAAUUUAGGUGCAACAUCAGCAUCAUUUGGCCCUGUUAACAUGACAAAAAGUUUUUAAAGUGUUAAAAAAAAAUUACAAUUGACAAUAAUAUACUGUACAGGACUAUAGCAGAACAUACUGUACAAUAAUAGGAAUAUUGGGGGACAUUCCAAGGUGACUCAGUCGGAUCACUUUUCAAAAAAUGUGCAUAAUGUGUACUGAAUAUUAAAAAAGGGGCAGACUUUCUACAAAUGUCUCGAAUAGAUAUUUGAGUGUUCUAUAAACCUGAACAAUUUGUUCAGUGGUAAUUAAAGUAUUUCCUGUUACAGCUGCUGUUGUUUUUUUUUUUUUUAUCCCAACUGUC